UACGGGGGGGCAAGCGUUGUUCGGAAUUACUGGGCGUAAAGGGCGCGUAGGCGGCCUUCUAAGUCGGACGUGAAAUCCCUCGGCUUAACCGAGGAACUGCGUCCGAUACUGAAAGGCUUGAAUCCGGGAGAGGGAUGUGGAAUUCCAGGUGUAGCGGUGAAAUGCGUAGAUAUCUGGAGGAGCACCGGUGGCGAAGGCGGGUCUCUGGGCAACAACUGACGCUGAGGAGCGAAAGCGUGGGGGAGCGAACAGG
rnacentral:rRNA from 1 species